UACGAAGGGGGCUAGCGUUGCUCGGAAUUACUGGGCGUAAAGCGCACGUAGGCGGCUUUCUAAGUCGGGGGGUGAAAUCCCUCGGCUCAACCGGGGAACUGCGUCUGAGACUGAUGAGCUCGAGUGCAGGAGAGGAACGCGGAAUUCCGGGUGUAGCGGUGGAAUGCGUAGAGAUCCGGAAGAACACCGGUGGCGAAGGCGGCCUGCUGGGCAGUAGCUGACGCUGAUGCGCGACAGCGUGGGGAGCAAACAGG
rnacentral:rRNA from 1 species